rnacentral:rRNA from 1 species
GUUGUCCGGAUUUAUUGGGCGUAAAGAGCGUGUAGGCGGCCAGGUAGGUCCGUUGUGAAAACUCGAGGCUCAACCUCGAGACGUCGGCGGAAACCCUCUGGCUAGAGUCCGGAAGAGGAGAGUGGAAUUCCUGGUGUAGCGGUGAAAUGCGCAGAUAUCAGGAAGAACACCCGUGGCGAAGGCGGCUCUCUGGGACGGUACUGACGCUGAGACGCGAAAGCGUGGGGAGCAAACAGG